GAAAUGCGAUAAGUAAUGUGAAUUGCAGAAUGAAGUGAAUCAUCGAAUCUUUGAACGCACCUUGCGCUCCUUGGUAUUCCUUGGAGCAUGCCUGUUUGAGUAUCAUGAAAUCUUCAAAGUAAAUCUUUUGUUAACUCAAUUGGUUUCUACUUUGGUAUUGGAGGUCUUUGCAGCUUCACACCUGCUCCUCUUUGUUCAUUAGCUGGAUCUCAGUGUUAUGCUUGGUUCCACUCGGCGUGAUAAGUUAUCUAUCGCUGAGGACACUGUAAAAGGUGGCCAAGGUAAAUGCAGAUGAACCGCUUCUAAUAGUCCAUUGACUUGGACAAUACUUUUAUGAUCUGAUCUCAAAUCAGGUAGGACUACCCGCUGAACUUAAGC
rnacentral:misc_RNA from 1 species